rnacentral:lncRNA from 1 species
CACAGUUCAUUAAGUACUACAUUUUUUUUAUAAAACACAAUGUACAUCGCAAAUAAAUUGGUAAGAAUAUCUUCUAGAUUUUCCCUUGGGACAAUACCUAAUCCCUACAUCUUCUAUAAAACGUCCAGUUUUUUUACUCUUAGUUUUUUUUAUUAUUCUAAACUUUAGUUUCCUGAUACAUCUGAGCAUCUAUGUGAUAUCCCAAGUGCUAAUUAAGGUAAAUGGAUGUCAGACACAGAUUUAAAAUAACGAGUGUAUGAUAGAAUUUAUGCAACAGAACAAAAUCAUUAUAAAUCCCUUACAAAUACAUAUGAGUUCUAAUACAUACAUACACUGAGGCCAAAAGUGGUUGCAAAAUAAAAAAACAAAACAUAAGGGUCAUUUUCUUCACUAUGAUAUUGGACUCAUCGGAGUGCAGGAACAGUCAUGCACUCAGACUUGUGGAUCCAUGGGAUCCUCAUAGACUUCCAAGGGUAGGUCAGCUUCCGGUUCUUCACUUUUUUUCUCAUCUAGAGGCGGGGGCAUAGAAAGAGUGAAUUUCAUAUACUCAGUAAUGAAAACAGUAUUAAAUUAAUACCGUAAGAUUUCAAGAGUUAAUUAUUUUAUCUUACCAUUUAACAUCCUUGUUUACCUAUCUCAUAUUAUGGAAAAUUAUUUAUUUGUUAAGAAAACGAUACAUUAAUACAGAAAAUCAAACAUACAUCAUGCCAGAUAAUAGAGAAAAUUAAAUAAAUCGUGAAAUGUUCAAAUUUUCAUGUCAUGCUUCGUGAAGUCAUUACAACUUCAAUCUUUGAGGGCAGAUACAGAUUUCUAACUACCCGAGUAGAAUGACCAUAUUAGAUAUAGAUACAGCAUAACAGAUAUCUACAAUCACGAUAUUACUUAGUCUUGGGUGACCCUUACAGAUAAUGCGACACCACUCUCAUCAGAGGGUAUGUCGUUAUCCACUAGGAGCGUUCCUCUUACGUCUUUUUAGACAAGAUAGGGGAGGGGGAAACAGAUACCCCUCAGAGAUAAAAAUUCUAACGAGACAAUUGGUGCAAUAUGAUGUCAAUACAAAUACACUUUGAACCAAACAAGCUUCAUUCCACUUUUCUUUUUUUUUUCUUUUGUACUUUUUACUUUUACCUAUUACAUAUUAUAUUUAUUACAUGCAAAUUCAUUAAGUGUCUGCAAUUCACAUAACAUGCUUAAAACUCAGAAAAAUUCGACUCAUUUGAACACAGAGGCAUACAAAAUAGGCAAAAUAACAAUCAUAUUAAAUUAGUUUAUCUAAAAAUAUUCCUUAAGAUGUCAAAAGAAAUACUAGAUUUCUUAUCGAAACAUUGAUGUUUUCUCCUUCACCAUUCUCCUUUCUUUCUUUUCUUCCCUCAUUAGACUACUAUCUCUCUUUCUCUAAACCUUUGAAAAAUUGAAGAAUGAAAGUGUGGAGAGGAAGAAGGGGGAGGAAUAUUUAUAGAGUUUUAGAACCGUUGGAUUCGUGCUAAGUAGCGAAAUCCAGUGAAGAGAGAGGAAAAAAAGAUGCUCGACACAAAAAAUAAAGGAGGAGGGCUCCUCCACCGUCGGUGGUGGUGCGUCGCCCAAGGCAGCAGUGGUGCACUGCUGGCUAGCCUACAGGCGCACAAAAAUCCUGUCAUGCGCAUAGGGGCUAGCCUGCGUGCGCGUAGGGCCCAAGCGCAUUGGGCACUGUGCACGCAAGCCCCAGGCGCAUAGGUCCUAUCUUUGCAGGCCUGUUAUGCGGACGGCAUGCGCACAGUGUGCGGCGCCUGUCCACGCGCGAGGUGACGCAUGGACAGCCCGCCUGCGCGCGACAGGACGCGCGCAAGUUUUGACCCCUCACCAUGUGCGCGGAGUGGACGUGUGCACUGUGCGCACGUCUUGUCUACGUGCACGCACGCACAUCUCGUGACCACUGUGCGCGCAUAUGCGCGCAAACAGUGCUCAACACUCGCACUGGUAACCAGACUCAUCGCGAGAUUUUUUCCAUGGGAUUUUCUUCCCAAUUCGUCGUUUUUUUUAAUUUUUUUCUCAAUUUUCAUAUUUAAUUUAAAUCAGUUAGAAUAAAAUUAUUUAAAAUAAAUUAAAUUAAAUUAAAUAAAUAAAAAUCAACCAAAAUUACGAAUUAUGAUAAAUAUUAAGCAAUGUAAAUUAAUUAAGUUUAACGCAGCCAAAGGCCCGAAUAAAAGGGUUUCCAAAUCAUUUUAGCACAGUGAUGGGUGGGAUAUUACAAUCUAAAUGCAUCUUAGAGUUUAGCAUAAUUGAUAACACACUACCUCUUUCUUCGUGUGUUACACUCUUACUUCUAGUAUUGGUGCGGUAUUUGUUCUAUAGGACUCCUUGCAGUAUUUUAAAAUAAUAUUUGAGAACACUUUUAUUCAAGAGAAUAUAUUUGACACUCAACUUGAGGGUGGGAGAUAAAAAGGUAAAAAGCAAUAAUGUGUGAGAAUAUCAAACGGUAAAAGCCAAGUGAGUAAAACACGAGAGACCAGUGAAGAAUCUUUAUUUGUUAUUACUAACCUCUUUUACAGGGAACUCUUUUCUAAAGAUGUAAAGCAAGCACCAAAGCCCCAUCGACAUAAUACUCUUUAUGGAGGCUAUGCAAGCAAAACUGAGACAACUCAAUAAAAAGAUGGAUAAUCUAAUUGGUGGCCAAAGUGAGGAAAGGCACGGGACUGCAAACACCAAACAGCCUAGGACUCAACACCAUGAUGAUGAGGUCGGGUCCUGUAAUGAUGAGGAGGAAGAUAGGGCGGAGAAGAGAGAAGAAAAAAGGAAUAGUAAUAUCAACUCCAUCAAGAUGAUAAUACGACCUUUCAAUGGUAGAAAUGAUGCUAAAGCAUAUUUGGAGUGGGAGAAGAAUGUAAAACUAGCCUUUGACUGCCACAACUACCACGAGGAAAAGAAGAUCAAACUAGCAGCGGUAGAGAUCACUGACUAUGCCUUAGUGUGGUGGGAUCAACUACUCCUCAUUAGACGGCAUAAUGGAGAACGACUAAUAUCCUCAUUGAGAGAGAUAAAAGCAAUCAUGUGAAAAAGUUUGUACCCACUUACUACUAAAAAGAGAUACAUCAAAAGUCACAGCGUUUAACGUAGGAGUCUAUGUCCGUUGAGGACUACCACAAGGAGAUAGAGAUGGUUAUGAUCAGGGAAAAUAAAGAAGAAGAUCCUAAAGUAACUAUGGCGAGAUUCCUCGGAGGUCUCAAUAGGGACAUUGUUAACAUGGUGGAAUUACAACACUAUGUGGAGGUGGAGGACAUGGUCCACAUGGCCAUAUAGAUUGAGAGACAACUACAGAGUAAAGGUAAGAGAAUAUUCCAUACUACUUCUACCUUUAACUCAAGAUGGCUGAAGAAUGAGGAAAAGAAGGGAGUUGAGUCAACAAUCUAUGGUUACAUGCUCCCACUUCCACUCAGGAAUUUGGAGGCCUUGUAACAAACGAUCAGCUCUCUAAUGUUUUGCCUUAGUCCUCUUGCUGGUGAGGCAUUGGGAGAUGUAGUCGACUAUGUAUUUCUUUAUUCCCGGUCACCAGUAUUAACGCAUUAAGUCUCAAUACAUCUUGAUACUCCUGGAAUGGAUGGGUAGCUUGGAAGCAUGGGUGGUCUUGAGAACAUCUGCCCUUACAACGACAGGGACCAAAUUCAGUUUCAAAAUCUAAACAAUCCAUCAUCUGAAAUUCUAAAAUUAAGAAAUUUAUUAGAGGAGAACUUACCUAAAUUCUUGGUGAGUUUUUGGUCCGUGGACUAAGCUUCCCAGAUUUUCAUAAAGAGAUCCGACAGGGCUCAGAUUUGAGCAAGAUAGGUGUCUUUGUCAUAGUAGCUAAGGCAGAGAGACUGCAUAGUAUCCAUCAAUUUCCAAGUGGAGGCCAUGGUUUGGGCCAAUACUAUAGACUUCUUUUGACUUAGCACAUCUGCAACAACAUUUCCUCUACUGGGGUGAUAGAUGAUCUUACAAUCAUAGUCCUUCAGAAGAUCCACUCAGCAUCUCUGUCUCAUAGUUAACUCCCUCUAGAGAAGAUGUACUUCAAAAUCUUAUGGUCAGUAUAAAUCUCGAAAGUUUGACCAAACAGGUAGUGACACCAUAUCUUUAGGGCAAAAAUGAUGGUCGUCAACUCUAGGUCAUGGGUAAGGUAGUUUCGCUCAUGAGGUUUCAACUGUCGGAAUCCAUAAGCAACUACUUUACCAUACUGCAUCAAGACACACUCUAAGCUAAUAUGAGAUGCGUCACAAUACACCUGAAAUCUUCUAAUAUUGUUAGGAAGGAUCAAUACAGGAGUAGAUGUGAAACGAUGCUUCAAUUCCAUGAAGCUUUCAUUGCAUUCGUAAUUCUAAACAAAUGGUACACUCUUUCAGGUGAGUCGAGUCAAUAAAGCGACAAUCUAAGCAAAUCUGUCAAUGAAUCAUGGAUAGUAACCUACCAAGCUAACGAAACUACGUACCUCAGCCACAUUAGUGGAUGGAGUCUAGUUGACCACUAUUUCAACCUUGGAUGGAUCUACAAAAACUCCUUCACUCAAAAUUACAUGACCAAGGAAGGAAACUUGAUCCAACCAGAAGGAGUAUUUGCUAAGUUUAGCAUACAAUUGGUUCCGGCGAAGGGUCUCUAACACUUCAGUCAAGUGUACUGGAUGCUCCUCCAGACUCUUAGAGUACACUAAGAUGUCAUCAAUAAAAAAGAUGACGUACUAAUCUAGUGCAUGCUAGAAAAUUAUGUUUAUGAGGUCCGAGAAGGUUGCAAAGGCAUUGGUUAACUUGAACGGCGUUACCCUGAAUUCGUACAAACUGUACCUACACUAGAAAGCAGUCUUCAGAAUAUCUUAUUCCUUGACUCUCAGCUGGUAAUAUCUCAUUCUGAGGUCAAUCUUAAAGAAGACUGUAGCUCCUUACAAUUGAUCAAAGAGGUGGUCGAUCCAAGGUAAGGAGCACUUACUUUUAACUGUCACUAGGUUGAGUUCCUGGUAGUCCACACAAAGUCUGAGGAAACCAUCUUUCUUUUUCACGAACAAUAUGGGAGCGCCCCAAGGAGAAUGACUAGGGCGGAUAAACAUCCAGGUAAUUAGUUCAGAAAGCUGAUUUUCUAACUCCGUAAGUUCAGCUUGAUUCAUACGAUAUGCGGGCUUCGAGAUUGGUUGGGUUCUGGGCAGCAGUUCAAUUAGGAACUCUACUUCUCGUGGGGGAGGCAAACUAAGAAGUUCAAUGAGAACGACAUCUGAAAAAUUGCAAACAAUCGGUAUAGAACACACAGCAGGAUCAACACCCAUAUUCUUAUUUAUUCAAUUGUUAGGAAAAAUAAUAACAAUAGAUUUUAUUCCUUUUUCACGGACCGCAAAGUUAUAAUUUUACUUUCACAAUCGCUUAUUGCUUUAUACUUUUCUAACCAGUCCAUUCUUAAUAUCACAUCAAAUCCUGAAAAAUUUAACAAUAUUAUAUUCACAAAUACUUCUAUCUCUGAAACUUUUAUCUUAUAAUCUUUAUAUACACAGUGAGCUGCUAAUAGUCCCCUAGAGGAAGUUUCUACUAUUAAUAUUUUUGCUAAAGGUUCUGGCCUAAAAUCAAGAUUACAAGUAAAUGCACAGGAAAUAAAAGAGUGAGUAGCACUUAUAUUGAUCAAAGUCUUGGCAGAAGUAUCAUGAAUAGAAAGCAUACCCUGAAUAAGAACAGGAGUGGGGAGAGCAGCAGGUUCAUCUAGGUGGUACACACAAGCUUGUGCUACAAGCUUGGUUAUGUCCUUCGGUCGUUGGGGGUAAUCUUUUAUAAGAUGUUGGGUGCUUCAGCACCAAUAAUAGGCGUGAUUGAUAUGUCGACAUGGCAAGUCACCAUGCGAGUGACCACAAUGCUGACAGGGUUGGUUAGGUCAGGCAAGCUGAGCUACAGGUGAAGUCAAGGUAGGGGAAAUGGCAACUCUAAUUCGUUUAUUGAGGUGGCUACUUACUGGAUCUGGCAAUCUCCUUCUAGGCCGUUAGGGUUGUUGUUCUUGGGCAUGUGAAAUGAGGUCUUCAGCCAAUUAGGCAUGUUCUAGCACCUUCGCAUAUGAGCUGGGUCUCAGCAUUGCAACCCAACCAUUGAUAUCAGCACGAAGGCCCUUUAGAAACUUCCUAGCUUUUUUACUUUCAGGGGGUGACCAUUAAAGAGGUGAAUCUAGAUAGUUGGACAAAACGGGCUGCAUACUAGGCAAUCGUUAGGUUUUUUUGGCGAAGAUUCUAAAAUUUCUACUCCUUUUUUUCCCAAACAUAGGCAGGAAAGAAAUUAUCACAGAAUGCACCCAUCAAAACUUCUAAGGUGGUAGGGGUAGGAAGUAUUUCCUUGUUAAGUCGUCACUAGUGUUCUGCUUCACUGUUUAGCAUAAAGGCUGCUAGGAAAACUUUAUGUUCCUCAGUUAGGUCUAAGAGAGAGAAAAGUUUUUCUAUCUAUAGGAUCUAGACUUCGGCUACUAAGGGAUCAGGGCCACCUUCGAAAUGAGGCGGGUUAAGCUUCCUAAACUCCACUAUGUUGUGGGAAAUGGACCUUUCAGUCAUUUGGUAUUCUGGGGCAGGAGGUGGAUAAGGGUUGGCUUGAUUUUUUCCUACGGUUGCAAUCAAUUUCUGGACGGUUAUGAAAAGUUCGGCAAAUUCAGCCUUGGUCGAGUGAUCUAGGGUUUCAGAUCGCUCAGUACGCUCUACGAAUGGUCUUCCUUGCGUCAUUCCUAUAAAAGAAAAGAAGAUACGAGUUAGUGGUCUGAUUUUUACAAAUAGGACUUAUUCUUCCUAGGUACUCUAAGGGUCUUUCGACCUAAGGCCUCAGUGUAAGGGAUUUGAUCCAUGUAAUUCUGCUCUAAUACCAUCUGUGACAUUCCAAAUGCUAAUUAAGGCAUGUGGGUAUCAAAUACAGAAAUAGAAUUAUGAGUGCAUGAUAAAAUUUUAUAUAGCGGAAUAAAUUAAUACAUAUCCUUUACAAAUAUAUAUGAGUUCCAAUUACAUAUAUAUAAUUGAGGCUAAAAGUGGCUACAAAAUACAAAAUCAAAAUAUAAAAGAGGGUAACUUCUUUCAUUACACUAUUGGACUCAUCAGAGUGCGGGAACAAUCAUACACUCAAGUUUUGUGGAUCCACGGGAUCCUCAUAAACUUCAAUAGGUAAGUCAGCUGGCAGUUCCUCAUUUUAUUCCUCGUCGGGGGNNNNNNNNNNNNNNNNNNNNNNNNNNNNNNNNNNNNNNNNNNNNNNNNNNNNNNNNNNNNNNNNNUCGGGGGGGGGGGAGGGGGAGGGCAUGAGAAGAGUGAGUUCUAUAAAGCUCAGUAAAAAAAAUAAUAUUUAAAUAAUAUCGUAAGGUUUUAAAGGUGAAUUAUUCUAACAUAAAUACUUAUCAUUUGGUUAUUUCGAAGACCUAUCUUAUAUUAUGAAAAUAAUUUAUUAAUUAGAGAAAAUAAUAUGUUAAUAUAAACUAACACACAUCAUACCAGAUAAUAGAGAAAAUCAAAUAAAUUAUGAAAUGCUCAGAUUUUUGUGUCAUGCUUCACAAAGUUAUUAUAACUUCCAUCUCUGAAGGCAGAUAUAGAUUUCUGACUACCCAUAUAGAAUGACCAGAUUAGAUACGGAUAACGAUAAUUUACUCAGGCACAUUUCCACUUAGCCAAACCAUGGUACGAUCUAUGAUCUACGACCACGACCGUACAAACUAUAGUGGCCCUAUCAGAUUUCUAUAAUCACGAUAGUACAUUUCCACUUAAUAAUUUUUGUUGUGUGCUCGUUCCGAGCCUGUUGUGCACCCAUGCGCGCGCACAAUUCACAAGUGCCCACACGGAGAGCACCCCUUUCUCGCUGGAUUUUCCCACGAGAUUUCUUCCACUUUGCCGUUUUUUUCUAAAUUCAUUUUUAAUCGUACUAAAAUAAAGUAAAAAUAAAAUUAAUGUAAUUAAAAUAAAAUUAAAUAGAAUUAAUUAAAAAUAAAAAUUUAAAUAAUAUAAAAAUAAUUAAAAUCGGUAUAAUUCACAAAUUACAAUAAUAACUUGUGGAAUAAAUUAAAUGAGUUUAAUGCGGCCUAAAGGCCUAAAAAAAUAGGAUUUCUUUGAAAUCAAUUAAGUACAGUGAUGGGUGGGGUGUUACAGUAGGACUCUACUUCUUUUGUUUUUUCUUUUCUCCCUUUAUCCACAUACUUUUUAUUCCAAUGAGGAUUCUUCUUGAUGAUCGCCUAGAAAAAAGAAGUACAGCUUGAGAAUAACUCUUUCUGUUGUAAAAACAACCUCUCUCACGUGUGAGGGAACCUUGCGGGUGGGGUUGCCCCUCCUACACAUGUGUUUGCCCACACAUGUGAACAAGGACAUUUACAUGAGUGGCAUGUGAGAUCUGUGACUUUCCUUGGCUGGUCUACCUUUAUUUGACCUUCUCUUAGGCCUCCCAAGUGAGCUCAUCAGUUACCCAUUAUUGGACCAAUAAGUUGAAAAAUAGUUAAAACUUCACCCAACUCCUCAAGAUUGGGCUUAGGGGCAUUUAGAUCCUGCUUCCUAACUCUCAAAGAUCAUCUUGAUUAUUUUUGGGCUGCCUUUGGACUUGAGAUGGAUUAGAAAAUAAUAAUGAAUUAGGAAAUGAGUUAGGCUCCAAGUAGGUUUUCACUCUAGUGCUUGGGCCAGGAGUCUCUAAAGAAGGAAAGAAAUCCUUGUGGGAUUGGGAUUCUUCACGAAAAUUCUUCUCGAUACUGUCUGCGGGUACGCGAGGGUUUUCAAUUCUACGAGGUAACUCCUUUUUCAUGUUCAAAUUCAAAUAAUUCCCCCUUCUUUGAAAAAAAUUCAUCCUUGAAUCUUCACCUAUAUCAAAAAAAGAUAGAUUUGAAACAUUAAAAGUAGUAAACACUCAAUCCUCACCUGGUAGGUCAAUCUUGUAAGCAUUGUUGUUGAGUCAUUCCAAGACUUGAAAUGGCCCAUCACCCUUAGGAUCUAAUUUAGAUUUUCGUUAUUUAGGAAAUCUUUUCUUCUGCAUAUAAAUCGAAACCUAGUUCUUGGUUGGAAGACAACCCAUUUUCUCCCCUUGUUAGCAUUAUGGGUAUAAGAUUCAUUUCGCUUCUGGAUGUGUUGUCGUACCUUCUCAUGUAUAGUUUUAAUAAGGUUGGCUCUUUGCUGGCCAUCUGUAUUCUUAAUUCCAACAAAGGUAUAGGCAUUAGAUCAAGCAAAGUUAAUGGAUUACAACCAUAGACAAUUUCAAAAUGUUAAAAUCUUGCAGAGGUAUGAAUGCUACAGUUAUAUACAAACUCAACUGUAGGUAAACAAUCUUCCUAAAUUCUCAUAUUUUGACCAACUACAACCCUUAUAGAGAAUCUAAGGUUCUAUCGACCACCUUAGUUUGGUAAUCUACUUGGGGGUGACAUGUAGUGGAAAAUAGUAUUUCAGUCCCUAGUUUACCUUAUAACACUCGCCAAAAGUGGAUAAGGAACUUGGCAUCCCUAUCACUUAUGAUAGUCUUGGGAAUGUCGUAUAGCCUCACAACAUCCCUAAAGAACAAAUUAGUAAUAUUUGUCGCAUCAUGAGUCUUAUGGCAAGCAAUGAAGUAUGUCAUUACUAAAUCUGUCCAUUACGAGAAAUAUAUUCUCACUACCUCUCCUCAUUCUAGGUAGACCCAAAGCAAACUAUAUGAAAAUAUAUAUUCAAGGUGUUAUAGGUCAAACCUAGAUUUAGUUUUCCUACAUGCAAUACAUUAGCUACAUAUGCACUAACAUCAUUUUCAUGUUAUGCCAAAUAAAAAUACUCGUGUAGAAUAUUAAAGUCUUGUACCCAAAAUAACUCGUGCGUCGCCUAAUAUGUGUUUCACGAACUAGCAAUUCUCUAAGUAAACAAAUAGGCACAACAUAGCUUACUUUCCUUAAGAAGGAAACCAUCAUAUUUAUAAAACUUUUGGAAUGCAUAAUGCUCACAUACAUGAUAAACAAGGAAAAAAUCUUUAUCAUUCACAUAUAUAACUUUGAUAUGUUCAAAUCCUAAGAAUUUAAAACUUAAUGUAGCAAUUAAAGCAUACAUUCGAGACAAUGCAUCAACAACAAUAUUAUCUUUACCAUGUUUAUACUUGAGGACAGAAGAGAAUGACUUGAUGAACUUUACUCACUUACCAUGUCAACGGUUGAGUUUACCUUGGUCCUUUAGAUGCUUUAAGGACUCAUGAUUAAUGUGAAUCACAAAUUUCUUCGAUAGUAGGUAAUAUUGCCAUACCUCUAAUGAUCUUACCAAGGCAUACAACUCCUUAUCAUAGGUUGAGUAAUUUAGUAGCGCACCACUAAGUUUUUGCUAAAAUAGGAUACCGAACGCCCUUCUUACAUUAGAACUGCUCUACUACCCACACCUAAAGCGUAACAUUCAAGCUCAAAAGUUUUAUUAAAUUUAGGUAAAGAAAGAAUAAGUGCAUAAAAUAGUUAUUCUCUUAAUAAAGUAAAAAUAGAUUCCUGUUUUUAGUCCAUACAAACUUUACAUCUUUCUUAAAAAAUUCAUUUAAUGGGGUUGCAAUGGAACUAAAAUCUUUAACAAACCUGCAAUAAAAGCUUGUCAACCAAUGGAAUCUUUUUACCCCAUUGGUUGUUGUUGGAGUAGGUCUGCUUUCACUUUAUCCUCAUCCACCUCAAUGUUUGUGCACUUACCACAAACCCUAAAAAUAUUAAUUUAUCACUGCAAAAAGUCCAUUUCUUAUCAUUAAAAUAUAACUGCUCAUUCCUAAGAACCUUAAGGACAGACUGGAUAAUAUUGGAGGUACUCCUUUAAGGACUUACAAUAUAUUAGGAUAUCAUCAAAGUAAACUACAAUAAAUUUACCAAUGAACGGUUGUAGGACAUAGUUCAUAAGUUUCAUAAAGGUACUAAGGGCAUUUGACAUACCAAAGGGCAUUAUUAAUCAUUCAUAUAGAUCAUACUUCAUCUUAAAUGUGGUCUUCCAUUUGUCCCCCAGUUUCAUCCUAAUUUGACAAUAACUAUCUCUUAAUAUCUAUUUUAGUAAAAAUAAAAGAAACACUAAGUUCAUCCAACAUAUCAUCCAGCCUAGGGAUGGGGUAUCUAUACUUUACUAUUAUUUUAUUGAUGACUCUGCAACCAACACAUAUCCUUCAAGAACCAUCCUUAUUAGGUGUUAGUAGCAUAGGAACAACACAAGGGCUCUAGUUUUCUCUAACAUGUCCCCUUCUUAACAACUUCUUUACUUAUCAUUGAAUUUCCUUCAUUUCCUCAAGGUUACUUCGAUAGACAGAACGAUUUAAAAUUGAUGCUCCAGGGACAAAAGUCAAGCUAGUGCUCUAUCCUUCAGAGUGGUAGAAGAUCAUCUAGGAUUUUCUCUAAAAAGACAUCCUCGAACUCCUAUAAAAAAAAGGAAACAAGACUAGACAAUGAAGAGGUUAAGGUCAGAUAAGUUUAAAUAAGCCUCUUUAUACUGAAGCACAAUUAGACUCUUUUUCUCAUAAAUUACUCGCCUCACCUCUCAUGCAGUCAUAAAAAGACUUUUUUUUCUUUUCUUUCUCUCACUUUCUCUCAUGGGCCUUUAUUCUUUUUUCUUUUAGGUCUCUUUUUCACUCAGUGGGUCAUUCUUUUUUCUUUCAAUCUCUUUCUCUCUCAAUGGGUUAUUCUCAAUUUUUUUCAGCUUCUUUUUCUCUUAAUGGGUCAUUUCUUUUCUUUUCAGCCUCUUUUUUUCUCAGUGAGCCAUUUUUUUUCUUUUCAACCUCUUUUCUUUCUUUUUCUAUUUUUUGUUCUAAAUGUACAUUAAUAGCUCUCUUGACCUUGAUUUGAUCCUUAUGUACCCCUUUUAGUGAUAGAGGUGUAAAAAUAUGAUUUAGACUUUUUUACGUAACGAGUAACAGUUGGUGAAACCGUUAUGUUGUACUUGUCUAUCAAACUACUAAGAUCUCCUAACUAUCAAAUGACUGGCAUACAUAGGUACAACAUCACAACAUACCUCAUUCUUAUAUUUGUUGAUGGAGAAAGAUACCAUGACUUACUUCGUGACUUUGACUUCACCACACUCAUGUCACCAGUGUAAUCAGUAAGGACUAUGGUGCUUAGUGCAUGUUAACUCCAANNNNNNNNNNNNNNNNNNNNNNNNNNNNNNNNNNNNNNNNNNNNNNNNNNNNNNNNNNNNNNNNNNNNNNNNNNNNNNNNNNNNNNNNNNNNNNNUAAAGCAACAUGUAUGGAAUAUGUUCUUCUGUUGUUUAUUGUUUGUGCUCGUAAGUUAUAAAUUUAGAGCUCUUUGAACUACAAGGACAUUAUCCCAUAUUAGAGUUUCUUUAAUUGUUUGAGAUAUAGUAAAGCACCUGCAAAAAAAAGGCUAGUAAAAAAAAAUUCCUCCUUCUUACCUUCACUUGUGUUUACUUCAUAAUCUCUUACACUCAACUUCUUCCCUCAAGUUGAGCGUUUGAAAUCUAAUUCUCUUAAAUCAAGAUCUGCACGUUAGUCUUAAAGACACAACAAUAAGUCUUAAGGGGAUCUUGUUUUUAGAAGCUUAAAAUUAAGCACACAAAUGAAGAAGUUGUGAUGCUUUUAUUAAUAAUAUGUUAAGUAACUUGAAUGCAAUAAGCUACUUAGAUGUGUCUUGGAAUAAAAAUAUAAUUAGAAAAAAUAAACUUAGAACACAAAGAAACAAAUAUGGAUUUAAAGUGUAAGGGAUUUGAUCAAUCUUGAUGGAUAUAACAAGUAUCUUAUUCCUAAUUAUUCCACCCCAAUGAUAACUACGCUCUACGAUUGAUUAAAUUUCUUUAUUUAAAUGUAAAUCCAGACUCAAUGAUGUUGUGCUUGAAAUUAAAAUAUGAAGCAAAUGGUUUUCGCACACUUUUUGGUGAGGUAAUCUUCCUUUGAAAAAUAAAGGUUUUCAUCACACUGAUAGGCAAUUAAUCUCCCUUAGCUUGUAAAUGCAAACAUAAUGAAUGUUGAAUUGUCUUAUGAUGUGCAAUCACUUUUCUUUGAUUUUUUUGGAUUUUUUUAACUAAUUAAACAAAUGAACUUCUAUUUAAAAGAAUAAUUAGAUAAUAUCAAAUGGGAUGCAAUAAAAUGGAUUCAAAAUUAGGUGUUUGAUUGCUAAUUAUGCAACAAUAAUAUGCAAAAAAAUUUAAGAUAGUAGAUUCAAUGGUGCCUAAGCUCUGAUACUAAAUGAUGUGGGACCUCCAGGAUCAAAACACCUUGAUCAUGAACCCACAUCAACAGUAGCAAGCUGAAACUUAAUUUCCUAAUUAAAUCCUCCCUACUUGAACUAUAUUCAACAAUUUGAAUGCAAACCAAGUUGAUUGGGAAUUAAAAUAAGGAACAAAAAAGCCAUUACGACUUACCCGAUAAGUUGAUUCAGAUUUUUUGACUCAACAAGAUGGUUGAAGCAACCUCCCUUGAAGAACACUCACUCUCACACAUUAGUAAAACUUCUUAUAAAGAAUAAAACUUAAAGCCUUAAUUGAAUAAUCUGAAUUGUUGUGAUUAUAGCCUAAGGUCAGGCCUUUAUAUAAGCAUUCACCAGAAAAAUUCUAUAAAAACUCAAAUACUUGACUUUUAUUCAAACUCUAUCUAUAUUCUAAGUUUAUCUAAAUCUUAAGAUUAAAAUAAUAAUUAAAUACAUUAAAAUAAUCAUUUAAAUAAUAAAAUAAUACUUAAAAUAUCUAGAUAGAUAAUCCUCCUCUCUUUGGUCGGUCCUUGUGAAUUAUUCUGUGUGCGUUUUUGCUUCAUUUAGUUGUAAAGUCAUAAGAAACAUGUGAUUAAAAUAAAGAAAAAGCUUUCUCCUUCAACUCGCAUGAGUAAGGCCAUUGGGAUUGCCUUACCGCAGGUUUACAUCCAUUUGGUUUUAUCUUUUCUCCCUUUAUUUGCAUUCUUUUCAAUCUUAUAAGGAUUCUUCCCAUUGAUCGCUUAAAAAGAAGAAGUGCAACUUACGAAAGACUCUUAUUGCCAUAAAAACGACCUCCCUCACGUGAGAGGGAACCCCACGAGUGAAAGUUAUCUCUCCUGCACAUGUGUUUGCCUGCACAUGUGAACAAGAACAUUCACAUGUGUGCCAUGUGACAUCCGCGACUUUUCAUGUUCGGUCGACCUUGAUCUCGCUUUCUAUUGGGCCUCCUAACUGAGCUCUUCACUUACCCAUUCUUGGACCAAUAUGUUGAAAGCUAGUUGAAACUUAUUCUAACUUUUAACUUAUUAGCUUGACUCCUCGUGAUUGGGCCUAAGGGCAUUUAGAUCCUAUUUCUAACUCUUAAAUAUCAUCUUGAUUAUUUUUAGGCAGUCUUUAGGCUUGAGAAGGAUUAGGAAACAAGGAGGAAUUAGGAAAUGAGCUAGGCUUCAAGUUGGUUUCCUCUUUGGUGCUUGGGCUGUGGGUUUCUAAAUAAAAAAAUAAAUCCUUGCGGUAUUGGGAUUCUCCACAAGUAUUCUCCCAAGUACUGUCCGCAAGCACGCGAGGGUCUUCGAUUCCGCAAGCUAACUCCUUUGUCAUGUCUAGAUUCAUAUUAGUCUUUUGUCCUGAUAAUUAGGGACUAGCAAUGGCCUUUUAUUAUUUUAAAAUAUCUAGGAGCUCUCUCCUUAUUCUUUAUUUAGUUAUUCGACCACUUGAACCUUUUCUAAGACUCCUCGAUAUGUCACUAGAACGAACACAAUUACCUAACGAUAAAGGUCAGGCCUCAGUCCUCUCUCAAACCUUCGGGCCUUCUUAGCUCAUUCAUCAUCAUGUCCAGGGAAAACCACCUCAACUUAAUGAAUUUUUCUAAUUACUCUGCCACUGUGAACUUUGCUUGGUGCAACUCUAAGAACUCAUUUCUUUUUCUACUGUCUAAUGAAAUUAGGAAAAUACUCGGCGUUGAAUGCCUCUAAGAAAAUUUCCCAGGUAAUGGGAGGAAUCAUAGCUCUUUUCUUCAAGUUCCACCAAUGUUCUACUGCUCCUUUUAACAUGAAAAUAACUAAUUGAACCUUCUAUUUGGUAGUGACUUCUAUUACUUCUUUUUAAAAUAGUUUUUCUAUCUCUUUAAUCCACACCUCUACUAUAAGUAGAUCAAAAUGGCUUGUAAACACUGGGGGACCCAACUGUUUAAACCUCUCAUUGUUGCUGGAGUCAACACCUGCAUGAACCAUAUUUUGAUGUUGAUAGUAGGGUGGUUCCGGGCAUAAUUCUCACUCUUGAACAAUUGUCACUAGGCUCUCCACGACUUGGCACAGCUUGUUAAAAUAUUCCUAAUUGAGACCUUUUUGGGUUGGUUUAACCUUGUGGAGCAGGGGGGUGACCCUUAAUGAGUUAGAAGUGGUGUUUAUUGAACUGGGGGCCAGUCUUGAGGAGCUAGGGUUGGCCCUCUCUAAGGUCGACCUCUGCCUCGUUCACAUUUCUAUUAUUCUUGCAAUUCAAAGGUAUUUUCACCUAAGAUCAUAAGAGAAAUUCAAUUUCCUUCUAAUCUAUAUAAAUUCUCAAGUCUAUUGUACAAAUGAUGGUCCUAGGAAAGUUGUUGUGAUACCCACUAUAACAACCUGUGAUUUUGAUGAAAUCACAAGUAUCUAAACAUCUUGAACAUUUAAAAUGCAAUGUCAAAUUUGUAUGAAAAUGCAAAAUACAAAUUUAUCCAAACUCUCAUCUUUCUAAUUUUAGUUAGAUCUAAAUAAUUAAAAUAGUCACGUAACAUAUCUCUAAUCUCAAAAAACUAAGUAAUACUUCAGAGUCUGAAAACUUAUAUAUCAAUACUAAUCAAAGAUAACAUAAAUCUCAUAUACUUAGAGGGUCUAGUCACUAUCGUAACUAGUCUUGUAUUUGCUCUUAGGUUUCAUGUUCUUAAAAAGAAUGAAAAAGAUUGAGCUGCACAUGCUUAGUACGAACCAUUUAGUACCCUAACCUGCAUAAAUGUAAAUAGUACAAGUGAACCCUCAGUAUACUGUAUCUAAGUGAGACCGGAUUCAUUUCUAAAUGAGUGUUACUAAUCUCGAAUAUCUUAUUUAUUCGAAUUAUUCAUCACUUUAAAACAUUUUUCUAGACAUUGUUAAGUAUUUUACUUUUCUAUUUCCCUGUUAAUAGUAAAAUCAAGUAAUCACUCAACAUUUUACCCAUAAUGCAAUAUAAUUCACUUUUUCUUUUACUUUAAUAUCACUUAUCAACUAUAUAAUGACAAUUUAUAACUAUAACCGAUAGUGCGUCAAAACAUCUUCAUUGUCCAUUUUUUAGUACUAAAUUGAAUUUUUUUAUAUUUGAUUUAAGCUAUUUUAUUCAUUUUGAUACAGGAUAGAAGAUGGAGCCCUACGUCAGGAAAACAACAUAAACAGAGCAGAUUUUGUGAAGUAGUUGUCAAUCAUUGUAUAAGUUUUCGUCAAGGCUUAAACCCUGCAGCAAAGGCAGAUUUUGGCUCACACACAAUCAAGCCUCGGGCAAGGUUAAUGUAUCAGAAAGGGCUAUAAGUCUCAGUACACCAGAUUAAGCCUCGACCAAGCCUUAAACAUGUGCAGCAACAUAUUUGACAAAAAAAAGAUGCACUGUCGAAUUAAAAGAAGAAAUUUAGUUGCGCCCGAAAAAGGAAANNNNNNNNNNNNNNNNNNNNNNNNNNNNNNNNNNNNNNNNNNNNNNNNNNNNNNNNNNNNNNNNNNNNNNNNNNNNNNNNNNNNNNNNUACUAAGCCCACCAUGAGUGGCUGAUAACAUUCGUUGCUAGUUACAGAUUUAUUGAAAAUUCCAAUUUGAAUUAUGAGAUCUAAUUGCUUUAUUUAUGAUUUCAUUAAAGCUUCAGUAUUUGCUUAUUUCUAUGUGUGUAUUAUUAUUGUUGCUUGUUAACUGUUUGACUAUGGCUGGUUAGAUGCGUGACAAGGCAAUAUACUACCAUUUGAAAAUCCUGAAUCCGUAAUUAUUUGGGUUAUUUCGAUACUCAAUAGUAAAUUAGUCUUUAAGCUAAGGGAAUAGGUGAUCUGAUUGAACAGGUCACGUGGUUGAAUCUGACAACUAGAUACAGGUUCUUUUAGUUCUCAAGGCUGUUGAUAGAUUAAAUUCUAUAAACAUUUCCAAGACUAUUUAUCAAUAAAAAUAAACUAACAAAUAUUUUUUGGUUAAUUAAGGAUUAAGGAAGAAUCGGUUGUCGGAACAUUUUCGAUAACCAAAACUAGUUUGUAGAGCUUUAGUAAGACCGAUCAUUAUAUCGAUGGUCAAUUUCACUAUUGGAAUCUAGCUACUUCUUUAACUGGGAUUAUUCUUAUAUCUGUUAUUUCUUUGAUUGUCUUCUGUUCCAUUGUGUAAAUUUUAGCUUAGUAGUUUGUUUUUUUUCAUCGUUUAAACUUGAAGAAAAACCCCCUGCUCUUGUUUUCGUUGGUCAAAGAAGAAUACAAUAUCCGAAUUUGUUUUCAACAGAUAUUGCAAUGCCACAAGAGUAUGAAAAUAUAAUGACCUUAGUCUCUAAUAAAUAAGAGCAGAACUUUUUCAAGACAAACGCAACAGCAAGUAGUUAUUUUUCAGUGGUCGAGUAGUUGACUUGAACACUAUCUAGAUAUAAUACCCUGAAACCUCUAUAUUCGGAUAUUGUAUUUUUAAAUUUUAUAUUUUUGUGAAGAGGAAGGAGGGGAAGGUGCUUUAAAUAGCCUUCCCAAAUGAAUGUGAUCUGUUGGAUCACAUGUAAUUAAUGGUAGCCAUUGAUCGGCCAACUGGCUAAGUGGCCACCCCCACAUGGCGUGCAUGUGUGCCAUGUCGUAACCAUGCAUGCCCAAUAGUGGGCUAACAAGACAACCCAUCCGUCGAGGGUCACGCAAAGUGACCUUGCAAGUGGUUGCACACUUCAGGCGGACAACGCGUGCACCCAAGCUGACGCGACAGUCCCUGCAAACGUACAGGCAUGCGCGAACAAUCACAUGCGACGUCCCUGCGUGCGCAGCAAACACGUGGGCAUAGUCACAGCCUUUCACGCAGGUUCACAGGUCCUUUCCCUCCAUUUUUCUGUUUUUGUUUUAUCUUUUAUUCUUUUUAAAAAAUUUUAAAUUCUUUUUAGCUAAAACAAAAAUUAAAAAUUAAAAAUAAAUUCAUGCACAAUAUAAUUUAAAUGCAUAUUAAAAUUAAAACACUAUAAUUUAUUAAAAUAUAAAAUUUAAAAAUACAAUAUCCGAAUAUAGAAGUUUCGGGGUAUUAUAUCUAGAUAGUGUUCAAGUCAACUACUCGACCACUAAAAAAUAACUACUUGCUGUUGCGUUUAUCUUGAAAAAGUUCUGCUCUUAUUUAUUAGAGACUAAGGUCAUUAUAUUUUCAUAUUCCUGUGGCAUUGCAAUAUCUGUUGAAAAAGAAAAAAGCCAAAUCAAGACUAAUUCGAUGGAUACUCUAACUGCAGGAAUUCGAUUUAGAAAUAAGAGACAAAAGGGGUAUGGAGAAUUUUAUUGCUGAUCACCUUAGUCAUCUGCUGUUAAAGGAAGAGCUUAUGCCAUUGAAAGAUGAAUUUCCAAAUGAACACCUUUUCUGGGUAACGCUGUGGACACUCUGGUACGCUGACAUAGUCAAUUAUUUGGUCACCAACACAUUGCCAGCUAAAUUGUCCAGAGCACAAAAAGAUAGAAUCAAGAAGAAUAAUAGUAAUAUGUGUGAGAUGACCGUGCAAAUCAGAUCAUUCGCUGAUGCAUCCCUAAAGUAGAAGUUCCUUCCAUCCUGAACUUUUGUCAUUCUCAUGCUUGCGGGGACACUUCAGUCCUAAGCGCAUGGUGCGCAAAGUGCUGGAAUGCUGGUUAUUUUGGCCUUCCCUGUUCCGUGACGCAUAUAUCUAUAGUAAAAUAUGUGAAAUUGCCAACAUACAUGAAAUUAGGCCGCAAGGAUUAGAUGUCAUUAACACCCAUCCUAGUCUACGACAUCUUUGAUGUGUGGGGGAUAGAUUUUAUGGGACCCUUUCCAUCCUCCUUCGAAAACUCAUAUAUUUUACUUGCAGUGGAUUAUGUCUCCAAGUGGGUGAAAGUUAAGGCCACCAGAACCGACGACGCCCAAAACUGUUGUCAACUUCAUCAAAACCCAUAUCUUUGUUAGGUUUGGAGUGCCUCAUGCGAUGAUAAGUGAUAGGGGAAUACAUUUUUGUAAUCGAAUUGUGGCUUUAAGAAGUACCAUGUCAGACACCGUACCUCCACCACUUACCAUCCGCAGAUCAGUGACCAAGCAGAAGUUUCAAACAAGGAGGUGAAGUCCAUACUAGAGAAAAAAUUCAACCCCAACAAAAAAAGACUGGAGCUUAUGGCUAGAGGAUGCUCUAUGGGCCUACAUUACAGCCUACAAAACUCCUAUCGAAAUGUUAUCCUACUGCCUGGUUUUCGGUAAGGCCUACCACCUUCCUGUGGAGCUAGAACACAGGGACUAUUAGGCAAAUAAGAGUUACAACAUGAAGAUAGAAGAGGCCAAGCAACAUAAGAAGCUGCAACUACAGGAAUUGGAAAAGAUAAGAAAUGAAGCUUACGAAAAUUCACGAAUAAAUAAAAAGAAGAUAAAGUCCCUCCAUGAUCGAAUAGUCACCAAAAAGUAGUUUUUUUGUAGGACAGGAGGUCCUACUUUAUGAUUCCCAUCUGAAGUUGUUUCCCAGAAAAUUACGUUCUAAGUGGUUAGCCCCUUUAUUGUCACAAAAAAUUCCACGCCGGAGCAGUUGAGAUCAAGAGUCUAGACACGGAUAAAACAUUCAAAGUAAAUGGACACCGACUCAAGCCAUCUAUGAAAGAUUUGUAGGACAACAAGUUGAAGAGCUCAUCCUAGAAACCCCUACAGAUAACAACCGAUAGCGCAGAGGCAAUCUCUAGCCUAGGACAGUACACAAGGGUGUUUAACAAGAGGCAACCCAUUUUUUCUCGUUUUUUUUCUAUUUUCCUUAAAACUAUUUUGAUGUUUUUAAAAUAUAUGUGUUAUUAAGGUUUUAACCUCAAUCACUCUAACUGGAAUUUUCUUCUUUAUUUACAGGCUGUUGAAGAAACAAUGCAAGACCACUGGGUCACCAGGCUGUAAAGACUGCAUUACCCUUGCCUAAGGCUAAGAGCGAUAACCCAAGCCUUGCCCAAGACGAAGAGUGAUAACCCAAGCUUUGCCCAAGGCCUAGAGCGACAAGUUAAGCCUUGCCAAAGGGUUAGCGCGUGCCUUGUCUAAGGGUUAAUAACUUCACAAGCCUUUUCAUGGAUCGGAUGCAAGCCACAAGGCUUAAACCAUGGUAACAUAAGAAGUCUAGUUUAGAAAUAUUUAGAUAAUUCAUGCCCAAGGGUUACGUUGUAGAUGUGAUUGAAGUUUUAUACUGUGUAACCUUUGCCCAAGGCUAAAGUGAAAAAAAGAAAAAAAAAAUUCCCCUUGUGAACUAUCCACUAAGCCUUUGUCUAGGCUCAUGACACCUGACGUCCAUUUUAAAUUUAAAAUCCCUACCCUAAAACACCACUCCCCACUUUCACAAUCAAACUCUCACUCUUUUCCCUAAUCACAACCUCUCACCUCAAACCACAAGCUCCACCUAAGGAACACGCUUCACUGCAUGAUGCAAGCAACCCCUCGACCCCAUAGCAGAUGAACCUCUAGUGUCUCCCACCCCCUAGCCAACAAUACUAGGGGAUUAUUCUAUCCUUUCUUUUUCUCUUAUUCUGUUUUUUUUUUCAUUUCUUAUUUUCUGGUUUUCAUGCUACCUUGCUUGUGUCAAAUUGGGGACAAUGUGCCUUUUAAGGGUCGAAGAGGCACAUGCUGCACUUUUACGUUUCCAUUUUGGUCACAUUUUUUCUUUUAAGUACAUGCUGAUAUGCAUUCGUAGCCCUACCCAAGUCACACAUAACUACAUUUUCAACUAUUUUUAACCCCAUCUUUUCACUACUGCCUUGGUAUUUCCAAAAUAAUUUAACUGGUGUUUCAAGAACUAAAUUACAUUUUCAGUAACCUUCUAAGAUUUCUGACUUAUUUUUCAUCUUUUCACACCAUGAAGAACUAUUUCUAUUAAUAUGUCUUAACAUAACUUGUUUAGGAAUUGCAUUCAAUUGAUUUUCUCUUGUCCUGAGGUGAACACUAGUGCCUAGGGAACUUACACAACUAUCUGUCUGAAUUUGCAUGUUCAAAUUCACCAAAAAAAAGGAGAGAAAGAGCAUGAACCAUAAACUACUCGUCUAGUUGAAUGAAUUUAUAACCAAUUGUGUAACCCGGUGCAUUCAUCAUAAAUGUUUGUCAUCACGUCAAAAGGUUGGUAACAUUUAAGAUAGCCAUAAAAGUGUUAGUCAAUCGAUUAUGAAUAGUACUAGUAGCCUCUGAAAAUUGUGACCAGCUGAGUAACCGGGUGCAUUCAUCAUAAAUCUUUGCCCUCACAUAAAAAAGUUAAUGAAAUUUUAAGUCAACAAAAGAGUGCUCAAGAAGUAAUUAUUUUAAUUAUUUGUUCUCACAAUAACCCAUUUGCAUUAAGACUUUAUGUUUAGACAAGUUUAGUGUGGAUUUUACCCUAGUUAUUGGCUAUUCUUUUCAAGAUAAAAAUGUGUUCAAAAACCUACAAAACCUUUCCAUUUUAUGCUUGGAUAUUAUUCAAAGUAGUUAUUCUUUGGUGUGAUUCCAAGAAACUCAAGCCUAAAACUGCUAGUAAGGACUGUUUUUGCAAAUUUAAGAUUGAAAUAUAACAUGCAAGUUGUGGAAAAAUUAUUAAGGGCAGUAGGGUUGAGGGUGCAAGGUUGAGACUUGUUGAGUUAUAUUGUGAAGUGCUUGGAGGCAAGCACAAGAUAAAUGUGGAGGAGUUUAAUAGUGUGUAAAAACAUCAUCUUCAUUGCCCAUUUUUAAGUACUUAAUUGAAUUGUUUGCUAUCUAAAUUAAACUAUUUUAUUCAUUUUGAUAUAAGACAGAAGAUGGAGCCUAAGUCAAAAAAAUAACAAAAAAAGAGCAGAUUUCAUAAAGCAACUGUCAGUCAUGGUAUAAGCCUCAAUCAAGACUUAAACCCUACAGCAACAACAGACUUUGGCUCGCACACAAUCAAGCCUUGGGGAAAGCUAAUGCAUUAGAAAGGGCUAUAGGUUUUAGGUACACCUGACUAAGCCUCGGUCAAGGCUUAGACACGUGCAAUAGUAUAUUUUAAAAAAAGGCACAUUACCGAAGUAAAAGAAGAAAUCCCAUUGCAACCAUAAGAGGAAAUCAAGAAUCAAGGAAGAGAUUAUUUUGGAAAGCAAGAAGGAAGUCGAAAUCAUUAGGAAAGAUCUCUAUCUUUGCAAAAAGAAAACCCUAAUCCUCCUGGGGUUUAAAAGGAGAAGAAAACCAGAGAAGAAGGCAUCAUGGAUGCUACACACUGCAACACUUGUAGCUUUCUAAAAUUUUCUUCCUUUUUUCUCUUUUCAAUAGUCAUAAAACUCUAUUAUGUACUAAGCCCAUCAUGAGUUGCUGGUAACUUUCUUUUCCAGUUACAGAUUUAGUGAAAAUUCUAGUUUGAAUUGUGAGAUAUAAUGGCUUUAUUUCUUGUUUCAUUAAAGCUUCGAUAUUCGUUUAUUUCUCUAUGCGUAUUAUUGUUGCUCCUUGUUAACCAUUUGAAUAGGGCCUGUUAGCACGCGACAAGCAACAUACUACCAUCCAAAUACUAAUCCGUAAUUAUUUGGGUUGUUUCGAUACUCAGUGGUAAAUUAGCCUCUGAGCUAAGGAUAUAAGUGAUCUAGUUGAGUGGGUCACACGGUUGAAUUCGACAACUAUAACUAAGUUCUUCAAGUUUUCAAGGUUAUUGAUAAAUUAAAUUCUAGGAACAUUUCCAGAGCUAUUUAUCAACAAAAAUCAAUUAAUGAACAUUUUUUGGUUGAUUUAGGAUUAAGAAAGAAUCGGUUGUCAGAACAUUUCUGAUAACCAGAACUAGUUUGUCGAGCUUUAGUAAGACCAAUCAUUGCAUUAAUGAUUAAUUUCACUACUGGAAUCUAGCUACUCCUUUAAUUGGGAUCAUUCUUAUAUCUACUUAUUUCUUUGAUUGUCUUUUGUUUCUUUGUUUAAAUUUUAGCCUAGUAGUUUGUUUCUUUUCAUCGUUUGAACUUAAAGAAAAACCCCAUGCUCUUAUUUUUCGUUGGUCAAAGAAGAAAAGUUGUUCUUGAUUCCCUAAGGAUUCGACCCUAUUUACCACUAUUAUAAUUCUAUUUUGUUGGUUGAAUAUGACUUUUAUUUUUGGUGGAUUUGAUACCCAUAAACAAUACAUCUUAUUUUUUUCAUAAUUGGACACCUAUAUCUUAUUGUACAAUGUCAUUUAAAUCAUUAUUAAAGAGGGCAGUAAAGAUCACCUCUAUCAACGUGAACACAAUCAUAGAAAUAGUGAAAACUAAAAUAUGCUUCCACUAUACGGGACUCACUAAUCGACCGACAUCAGCAACAUACACACCCACCCCUCAACGGACAUAGUAUAGUAUAACAUAUUAGAUAUUUUUUGCAUGGGUUCACUAAUCAACCAAAAUAAGCCAUACACACAUCUAUCCAUCUGUAACACCCCACUCACCACUGUGUUUAAUUUAUAUUUGAAAAAUCCUAUUUAUUUGGGUCUUAUGGUCACACUAAACUCAUUUAUUUUAUUCCGCAGCUUAUUAUCGUGAUUCGUAAAUUAUGUUUAUUUUUAUUUUGUUUAAUUUUAUUUAAUUUUAUUUUGAUUUAAUUGUUUAAUCGUCAUUUUUUUUUAAAUAAACGAUUUUCAGAAAAAAUAAAAAAUAGGGAGAAAAAUCUUGCGAGAUUCUGCCCACGUGGGCGCCCGUGUGGUGUGUGCGCUCGUGCACACUUCCCAUCGCGCGGCGUAGAGGACAGGCCUGCGCACGCGUCUUGUCACGCACAGGCAGGACCUGUCCACGUGCGUCACAUUGCGUGCAAACAGGUAGGCGCCACACACUGUGUGCGGCCAUUCGUGCAAUAAGCCUGCAUGAAUUGGCUUGCGCGCCUUGGGCCUGUGCUCGGCUCCUCACCACGCCUUGGCCCUGUGCACAUAGGCCAGUUCCUGCGGCAGGGUAGACUGGCGCCUAAAGGCUAGGCCUACAAUGAGCACUAGGCAAAUGAGGCCAUUGCCACCUCGGACAGUGUGUCGUCGCCCAUCUUGGGUGGCAUGCUGCUGCUUAAGGUGUCGCCACCAGUGGAGGAGGUUUUUUUCCUCCGUUUUUCAUACUAAAUCUUUUUACUCUCUCUCCACCAGAUUUUACCACUUGGCACAAAUCCAAUGGCCUCCAUUUUCUAUAAAUAUGGGUCUUUCCUCCCAUUUUCUCUUCACUUUCAUUCUUCCACCUUUCAAGAGUUAGAGAGAGAGAAUGAGAGUGAUUUAGAGAGAGAAUGAGAGGAGAAAAAGAAGAAUGGUGUAGAAAAAAUUAUCAAGGUUUCGAUAAGAAAUUUAGUAUUUCUUUAGACAUCUUAAUGGAUAUUUUUAGACAAAAAAAAGGAUUAAAUUGAUAAUUCUAUGACUUUACGUAUUUUGCAUGCUCUAUGUUAGUAGACUUAAUAAGUUGAAUUGUUCUUGAUUUCGAGCAUACUAUAUGAGUUAUAGAUACUUGAUGAUUUGCAUAUAAUUAAAAUAAUAUAAAACAGGUAAGGCUAUAUAGAAAAAAAAAAAAAAAAAAAAAAGUAGAAUAAAGUAUGAAUGGUCCGAAGUAUGUACCUGUAUUGACAUGCAUAACGCAUUAAGUAUCUCAUUAGACUUUUUAUCUCUAAGGAGUAUCUAUUCCUCUAUCCCCAUUCGGGAUAUUUUUUUUUCCUCCCCCAUCUGGUAUGGAAAGACGUAAAAGGAAUGUUCCUUAUAGAUGACGGCAUACCCUCUGACGAGAGUAGUGAUGCAAAUAUCUGUUAGGAGUCACAUUUAGUUAAAUAUUUUCGUAACUAUAGAAUAUUUUAUAGGAUCACUAUGCUUGGUACGACCAUGGUCAUAGAUCGUACCAUGGUUUGGCAAUCCGGAAAUGUCUCUGAGUAAAUUGUCAUUAUCUCUAUCUAAUCUGGUCAUUCUAAAUGGAUAGUCGAAAAUUUAUAUCUGCCUUCAAAGAUAUAAGCCGUAACGACUUUACGAAGCAUGACACAAAAAUCUGAGUAUUUCAUUAUUUAUUUGAUUUUCUCUAUUGUUAGGUAUACUGUGUUUUAUUUUAAUUGUUGACUAUAACGUGAUUUUUUUUAAUAAGUAAAUUAUUUUCAUAAGGUAAGAUAGAUCUACGACGUACCUAAAUGGUAAGUAUUUAUGUUAGAAUUAUUCACCUUUUAAAACCUUAUGAUGUUAACUAAAUACUAUUUUUCUUACUGAGCAUAUGAAACUUACUUUUUCUAUGCUCCCAGAUGAGGAAGAUGAUGAGGAACCAUCAGCUGAUAUACCCAUUGAACUUUAUGAGGAUCCCAUAGAUCUGCAUACUUUGAGUGCAUGAUCGUCCUCGCACUCUGAUGAGUCCAAUAGUAUAAUGAUAGAAGUGGCUCUCUUUUGUAUUUUGACAUUGUAUUUUCCGGUCACUUCUGGCCUCACUUAUAUAUAUAUAUAAUUGAAACUCAUAUAUUUAUAAGGAAUUUGUAUUAAUUUGCUUUGUUACAUAUAAUUUUUAUCAUGCACUCGUAAUUUUUUUUCUGUAUCUGACACCUCAAUGCCUUAAUUAGCGUCUGAGAUGUCACACCAUCCAAGAACAUAACCACUGCAAUCACAUCUAUAUCAUACCGCAUAGCAAGUACAAUGCACUAUAAGUGUAAUUACAUCUAUACCGGACUACAUAGCAAGUACAAUGCACAUUACCAUAAAAUAUCUUUUUCGUCCACGUGAUAGGUUUCAUCAUCAACCAUAUCGACCGAAUCUCGGCCACACACACGCAUUAAUUUGCUUUCACAUUUUGAUUUGAAUUUUCCCUUUAAUUUUAAAUUUUCGCUCAAUAGAUUAUAUAUUUAUUUCAUACCUUUUUUUUUAGUUAAUUAAUUUCUUUCCUUACGUAUUUUUCUCUAACUUUAACCUUCACAACGAACUUAACAUUUAAUAUCAUUCCAUUAAUAUUUUAUUCGUAUAGUUUCAUUAAUAAUUUUUGUUUAACCCUAUUUGUCUAUUUAGUUAAUUUUUUGUUGUACAUUUAUGACAAGGUUUAAUACUAACCCCACUCACAACCCUAUCGUACAUGGUAUUCUUCGAUAUAUUUAUAAAUAGGCUCUAUAAUAUACUUCUAAUUUAAUAUUUUUAUUAAUUUUUGUUGGUGAUAUUAAUUUCAAAUCCACUUCUGGUUUUAAUUUUUGGACCAAUAUCCUUAGUCAACCUAUUAGACAUUUUAUUUUGACCCAUUAUAUCAUUUUGGAUAAUUAAUUCACUCUUAUCAUAUGUUAUCAUUAAUACUAUUAUUGUUAUUAUAAUUAUUAUUACUAUAACUUAUUUAUUUAUUCUUUUCUUCCUUUUUGGGUCUCUAUUCAGUGGCCCACUUUCCUAUUGCCCAUUAAGAUAAUAGUUUUGAUUUUAGAAAAAGACUUGGCUCUACCCUUGAAAUUUCUAGUUCUGACUCCUUUAGAAAUUAUAUUUUCGGGCUUGACUCGUUUAAGCCAUUGGUUAGGAACCAUCUAUCUUUUAUAGGCUCAACCCAUUAAUAUGUUUUAGGUUCAGCCCAUUCAGAAAUCAAUUCCCCAUAACCCUAAAGUUUCCUACAUCUUAUCUCUCCACCCAUGAACACAGAAGGGUUUACAAAUUAUAUUUGUAACACUUCAUUUAUAAUCACAUGUAUAGAUUCCUAAUAGAUGAAAAUGGGUGUAUUUGGUCGUUUCUAAUCUACCAUUUUAAAGAUAUAUUUUAGAUAAACUAAUUUAGGAAUUGCUUCAGAUGUAUUAAAUUACAAUUAUGGGUUAAGAAACUAAAUCAAUCUUAGUCUUCUUAGAUUAAUGAUGGUGUGAGUUUGAUUUGCGAUGAUGAUUAUUGCUUUUCCCUAAGCUACACAUACACAAAAAAAAAAAAACCCACUUUGUCAUGAAAACCCAAAUCGACGAUGAAGUUCAUCCCAUUUUUGGGUCUAUGAAAAUGAAGGAAACACUUACCAAGAGACUCACCACUCAUUGCAUAAAUGUCUAAAAUCCCGAAUUAACUUCUAGCCUUAAGCCUUCUGCUGCACCUUCACCUUCUUCAACCUUUCGAAACACUUUCCCUUCUCUCUUCUGUCGCUUCGUUCGGGUUUAGGAUUAAGGUUUGUGUUUACUUUUUUUU